GUGCCAGCAGCCGCGGUAAUACGUAGGUGGCAAGCGUUGUCCGGAUUUAUUGGGCGUAAAGCGAGCGCAGGCGGUUUUGUAAGUCUGCUGUGAAAGCCCUCGGCUCAACCGGGGAAGUGCAACUGAAACUAUAUUUCUUGAGUGCAGAAGAGGAGAGUGGAACUCCAUGUGUAGCGGUGGAAUGCGUAGAUAUAUGGAAGAACACCAGUGGCGAAGGCGGCUGUCUGGUCUGUUACUGACGCUGAGGCUCGAAAGCAUGGGUAGCGAACAGGAUUAGAUACCCUGGUAGUCCAUGCCGUAAACGAUGAAUGCUAGGUGUUGGAGGGUUUCCGCCCUUCAGUGCCGCAGCUAACGCAUUAAGCAUUCCGCCUGGGGAGUACGACCGCAAGGUUGAAACUCAAAGGAAUUGACGGGGGCCCGCACAAGUGGUGGAGCAUGUGGUUUAA
rnacentral:rRNA from 1 species